UCCUACGGGGGGCAGCAGUGAGGAAUAUUGGUCAAUGGGCGGGAGCCUGAACCAGCCAAGCCGCGUGAGGGAAGAAGGUACAGCGUAUCGUAAACCUCUUUUGUCAGGGAACAAAGGCGGGGACUAGUCCCCGGAUGAGGGUACCUGAAGAAAAAGCAUCGGCUAACUCCGUGCCAGCAGCCGCGGUAAUACGGAGGAUGCGAGCGUUAUCCGGAUUUAUUGGGCGUAAAGCGAGUGCAGGCGGUUCAAUAAGUCUGAUGUGAAAGACUUCGGCUAAA
rnacentral:rRNA from 1 species